rnacentral:ncRNA from 1 species
UCAGAUCCUCAGGGCGGGGUGAAAGUCCCCACCGGCGGUGAUGUCAACACCGGACGUUGAUUCGGUGGCGAACAAGCCCGCGAGCGCAUGAUGCGCAGGAAUCGGUGAGAUCCCGAUGCCGACGGUGAUAGUCCGGAUGGGAGAGGAUCGAC